ensembl:lncRNA
GACACCAAUGUAGCGUCAAACAGAAUCAGGUGUGUUUUGGCUUCUAUGUCAUUAAUGACCUCAGGCACAAGCAAUCAAACACUGAUACAGAAAGACAGACUGGCAUGGGCAUUUAUACACAGACAAGGGUAGGUAAGAGGGCAUAGAGAUUAGAUUGGAUAUAACUAGUCACUAACAUUGGGUUGUCCUUGACACAGCCAGCUAGACCGUAUGACCUUAACCAAUGUUUACACAUACAAAAAGUGACAAAGUAAACGAACCUUUUGGAAACGUUGUUUUGAAGCCUUUUCCGACAGCCGUGUUUAUUCCAAGGUACACGCUCCACAGUUUCUAUGGUAACUCCAAGGUACACGCUCCACAGGUUCUAUGGUAACUCCAAGGUACACGCUCCACAGGUUCUAUGGUAACUCCAAUGUACACAUUCCACAGUUUCUAUGGAAGCUCUAUGGAAAUUUGGAGCGCUGCUCCUGUUGCCACAUAAUAAACAACUUACUAACUUUGACCGUUCGGUCAUGCCGGGAAAUAUCAAACUUCGGCUUUGGCUGG